AUGAGCCCCCAGUUCUUCAGCUCUGUGGUCCUGUGCCUCCUGGGAGCAGGCCCCCUGGAGUCAGCCGUCUCCCAGAGCCCCCGGUACCUUGUGAGUCUGACAGGAAGCCGGAGGUCCCUGAGCUGUGAACAGAACCUGGGCCACCAAGCCAUGUACUGGUAUAGGCAGGACUCCAUGCAGCCACUCAGGGUCAUGUUCAGUUACAACAAUAGGGACCUCAUUGUCAAUGAGUCUGUUCCCAGCCGCUUCUUCCCGCAAUAUCCGGACAACGCUCACCUGAACCUCCACAUUGACCUCCUGGAGCCGGGGGACUCGGCUGUGUACCUGUGUGCCAGCAGCAGAGACACAGAGCUGUGA